AGUGAACGCUGGCGGCGUGCCUAAUACAUGCAAGUCGAACGAAGUGGCGCGCGGGUGAGUAAUAUAUAGUUAAUCUGCCCUACACAGAGGAACAACAGGUGGAAACGACUGCUAAUACCUCAUAGUGUAGGGUGAGACGAUAUCGUAUCAGAUAGUUGGUAAGGUACUGGCGUACCAAGGCUAUGACGCGUAACUGGGCUGAGAGGAUGAUCAGUAAAAUUCGAAGGGAGACACGGGUCAAAAACCUUCGGGAGGGAGCAGUAAGGUAUAUUGCGCAAGGGGCGAAACCCUGACGCGGCAUCGCCGCGUGGAGGAUGACACUUUUCGGAGCGUAAACUCCUUUUAUCAGGAAAGCGGUACCUGAUGAAUAAGCACCGGCUAACUCCGUGCCAGCCGCCGCGGUAAUUC
rnacentral:rRNA from 1 species